UGGCGGACGGGUGAGUAACGCGUAGGAAUCUACCAAAUAGCGGGGGAUAGCCCGGAGAAAUCCGGAUUAAUACCGCAUACGCCCCACGGGGGAAAGAGGGCCUCUUCUUGAAAGCUCUCACUAUUGGAGGAGCCUGCGUUGGAUUAGCUAGUUGGUGGGGUAAAGGCCUACCAAGGCGACGAUCUUUAACUGGUCUGAGAGGAUGAUCAGUCACACUGGAACUGAGACACGGUCCAGACUCC
rnacentral:rRNA from 1 species